UACAGAGGGUGCGAGCGUUAAUCGGAAUUACUGGGCGUAAAGCGCGCGUAGGCGGCUUUGCAAGUCGGGUGUGAAAUCCCCAGGCUUAACCUGGGAACUGCAUUCGAGACUGCAUUGCUAGAGUAUGGGAGAGGGAAGUGGAAUUUCCGGUGUAGCGGUGAAAUGCGUAGAUAUACGGAGGAACACCAGCGGCGAAGGCGGGUAGCUGGGCCAACACUGACGCUGAUGUGCGAAAGCGUGGGGAGCGAUCCGG
rnacentral:rRNA from 1 species